AGUGAACGCUGGCGGUAGGCCUAACACAUGCAAGUCGAACGGCAGCACAGUAAGAGCUUGCUCUUACGGGUGGUGAGUGGCGGACGGGUGAGGAAUACAUCGGAAUCUACUUUUUCGUGGGGGAUAACGUAGGGAAACUUACGCUAAUACCGCAUACGACCUACGGGUGAAAGCAGGGGAUCUUCGGACCUUGCGCGAUUGAAUGAGCCGAUGUCGGAUUAGCUAGUUGGCGGGGUAAAGGCCCACCAAGGCGACGAUCCGUAGCUGGUCUGAGAGGAUGAUCAGCCACACUGGAACUGAGACACGGUCCAGACUCCUACGGGAGGCAGCAGUGGGGAAUAUUGGACAAUGGGCGCAAGCCUGAUCCAGCCAUACCGCGUGGGUGAAGAAGGCCUUCGGGUUGUAAAGCCCUUUUGUUGGGAAAGAAAAGCAGCAGGUUAAUACCCCGCUGUUCUGACGGGACCCAAAGAAUAAGCACCGGCUAACUGCGU
rnacentral:rRNA from 1 species